rnacentral:lncRNA from 1 species
AUUUGUUUUGCCCAUUUCAGCCAUACAAUCCUCUUCAUUUAACUGAGAAUUCAAAAUUAUAAGGUUAUCUCCUUUUCCCAAUAUUAAUCUCACUAUUAUUGUUGAUGCGGGGUCAGUGAGCCGAGGAAUCAGAAGAAAGAUUUCUUGGACUCUCAAGGUCUGGCAGUAGUGCUCUUUUAUUCAGAGAAUAGUGUAGAAUAGCAUGAGGACAGGACCCAUGGGCAGUAAAGAGCUGCUGCUGGCAUGGGGACAGGAUCCAUGGGCAGUUAAGAGCUGCUGCAGGCAUGGGGACAGGACCCAUGGGCAGUUAAGAGCUGUUGUAUGGGGACAGGACCCAUGGGCAGUAAGAGCUGCUGCAAACAUGUGUUGAGGGUAGGGCUAAAUUUAAGGCACACAAGACAAAGGAAAGAUUAUGUAAAAAAGUCAUUAAAAUGGUAUCAGUGCAGGUGGGGUCUGGUUAUUGGGUGGUCCUAUAACUUUAGAUAAGAAUCAGACCAAAUUAAGUCAGGAUGUCCUAUGCUUCCCAGAGGAUGUUGGUGGAGGGGGGAGUCAGCUACAUGAGGUUACCAGACAAGCACAAUAAACAAGACUUAAGUCCUUGUCAUCCCCAUUAAGAAUUUCUAGAGAUAAGGUCAUACCCCCUUCCUCCUGGUGCGGAGAGGGAGACACCUUUACAGAUGGAGAUUGCCUUUACAACGUAAAUGUUUCUUAACAAACGGUAAGUAAAUUCUACUCCUCAGAGCCUCCUUCCCAUCUGCAGUUUUUUUAAAACUAACUAGCCUAAAAUAAUCCUCAUCGUCACCCUACUUUAUUAUUAUCUAUAUUAACAUUUUGACACUUCGAAUACUCAGUUCUGCAACCCUACUUUGUAAUUUUGAAUUGUUAUGCUUCCUCUUUGUUAAUUUAACAACUCAAUAGCUUUCCUUAACAUUUUUUUGAGUUUAUGAGCUUAUUAAUUGGCUGCUUAAGAAUGUUACUCUAAGGAUUAUUCAUGCAAAUUUGUUAGUACAAAAAAUAAUUCAAAUUAUUAAAACUAUGAAAUUUGAUCAAGAAGCAC